CUUCAUCAGCAAUGGAAGUGGCUGAUAUGUGGACUCUGCAGAUUAUAUAACCUUCCUAAGCACCCGAAUGUUGAGAUGCCAGAUCAACCACUACCCAUGGGUCAGAAUGGGACAACAGAAGAAGUGACUUCAAAAGAAGAGGAAGAAGAAGAGAUGGAUGAAGUGGGUAUUUUAUAUAAGAAUAACAUUUUGGCCAGGAUAUAGAAGACUUAGAUCACUGUGAGAUGAAAGAAGAGCCUACUAGUGAGAAGAAGUUGGAGGAUGAAGGAACUGAAAAAGAAAACUGGGCAAUAUUAGAGAAAAUUAGGAAGACUGAAAGGCAAGGCCAUUUAAAUGUGUUGACCCUGAUAGUUCUUUGCACAGUGAUCUUCAGAUCUUA
rnacentral:lncRNA from 1 species